rnacentral:rRNA from 1 species
GAUGAACGCUAGCGGCAGGCUUAAUACAUGCAAGUCGUGGGGCAGCGCAGAGUAGCAAUACUUGGGCGGCGACCGGCAAACGGGUGCGGAACACGUACACAACCUUCCUACAAGUGGGGAAUAGCCCAGAGAAAUUUGGAUUAAUACCCCGUAACAUAACGAUGUGGCAUCACAUUGUUAUUAUAGCUUCGGCGCUUGUUGAUGGGUGUGCGGCUGAUUAGAUAGUUGGCGGGGUAACGGCCCACCAAGUCUACGAUCAGUAGCUGAUGUGAGAGCAUGAUCAGCCACACGGGCACUGAGACACGGGCCCGACUCCUACGGGAGGCAGCAGUAAGGAAUAUUGGUCAAUGGGCGAAAGCCUGAACCAGCCAUGCCGCGUGAAGGAUUAAGGUCCUCUGGAUUGUAAACUUCUUUUAUCUGGGACGAAAAAAGGCGAUUCUUCGUCACUUGACGGUACCAGAUGAAUAAGCACCGGCUAACUCCGUGCCAGCAGCCGCGGUAAUACGGAGGGUGUAAGCGUUAUCCGGAUUCACUGGGUUUAAAGGGUGCGUAGGCGGGCAGGUAAGUCAGUGGUGAAAUCCUGGAGCUUAACUCCAGAACUGCCAUUGAUACUAUCUGUCUUGAAUAUUGUGGAGGUAAGCGGAAUAUGUCAUGUAGCGGUGAAAUGCUUAGAUAUGACAUAGAACACCUAUUGCGAAGGCAGCUUACUACGCAUAUAUUGACGCUGAGGCACGAAAGCGUGGGGAUCAAACA